rnacentral:rRNA from 1 species
AUUGAACGCUGGCGGCAGGCCUAACACAUGCAAGUCGAACGAGUGGCGGACGGGUGAGUAAUGCCUGGGAAACUGCCCGAUGGAGGGGGGUAACUACUGGAAACGGUAGCUAAUACCGCAUACCAUCGGAUGUGCCCAGAUGGGUUUAGCUAGUAGGUGGGGUAACGGCACACCUAGGCGACGAUCCCUAGCUGGUCUGAGAUGAUGACCAGCCACCCUGGAACUGAGACACGGUCCAGACUCCUACGGGAGGCAGCAGUGGGGAAUAUUGCACAAGGGGCUCAAGCCUGAUGCGGCCAUGCCGCGUGUAUGAAGAAGGCCUUCGGGUUGUAAAGUACUUUCAGCGAGGAGGCGUUACUCGCAGAAGAAGCACCGGCUAACUCCGUGCCAGCAGCCGCGGUAAUUC